AUGGGCGAGGUGGGACUCAAACCUCCUGGACACAAUAAUCUGAUUUUAAUAUCAUACAUAUCCUGGCUGAACAUUUCUGGACUUAUUAUGAAUGCAAGAGAUCGAUUAUUGAGUUCAUCUAAAUCAACUGAUUAAUUGGACUUAUCACCCAGGGUCCCUGCUGAGCCUAAUCUGACACCUACGUGUGUCGGCAUCCUUCAGCUCUUCACUGUUCUCCCUGGUGAUGGACGAUGAAGACGGCAUCCUCUGGACCUGCGUGUGUCUGUUCUGCUCAUCAACCACUGAAACGACGGAGCUCAGUCAGAAUUCGUGGCACAUACUUGGCGGAGGAGAUGACGUCGCUGUGCUUGUCAGAGUCCAGGAUCUUGGCCAGGUGGCAGGCGACGGAGUCUGCAUACUGAGUGAUGUGGAUCUGAAGCAUGAAUAAAGAAAGCCACC